UACAGAGGUGGCAAGCGUUGUUCGGAAUUACUGGGCGUAAAGGGCGCGUAGGCGGUCUUGCAAGUCCUGUGUGAAAUCCCUCGGCUCAACUGAGGAAUUGCACGGGAAACUGCUUGGCUUGAGAUCGGGAGAGGGAAGCGGAAUUCCGGGUGUAGCGGUGAAAUGCGUAGAUAUCCGGAGGAACACCGGUGGCGAAGGCGGCUUCCUGGACCGACACUGACGCUGAGGCGCGAAAGCUAGGGGAGCAAACGGG
rnacentral:rRNA from 1 species